rnacentral:rRNA from 1 species
GACGAACGCUGGCGGCGUGCUUAACACAUGCAAGUCGAACGGAAAGGCCCUGCUUUUGUGGGGUGCUCGAGUGGCGAACGGGUGAGUAACACGUGAGUAACCUGCCCUUGACUUUGGGAUAACUUCAGGAAACUGGGGCUAAUACCGGAUAGGAGCUCCUGCUGCAUGGUGGGGGUUGGAAAGUUUCGGCGGUUGGGGAUGGACUCGCGGCUUAUCAGCUUGUUGGUGGGGUAGUGGCUUACCAAGGCUUUGACGGGUAGCCGGCCUGAGAGGGUGACCGGCCUCAUUGGGCCUGCGAGACGCCCCAGACUCCUACGGGAGGCAGCAGUGGGGAAUAUUGCACAAUGGGCGGAAGCCUGAUGCAGCAACGCCGCGUGCGGGAUGACGGCCUUCGGGUUGUAAACCGCUUUCGCCUGUGACGAAGCGUGAGUGACGGUAAUGGGUAAAGAAGCACCGGCUAACUACGUG